rnacentral:lncRNA from 1 species
UUGGUACAGCAGUCUGUAAAGCCAGGACAGCUGACAGCAUCAAUUUGAUGUUUGGCGAACAAUAGGUGGAGAGAAGACAAAGAGUUCUAAAGAAAGAUAAAGCACAUGAGAGAAAAUGGAAAUAAAUGUGUCAUCUGAAUGAGGGCUAAAGUGGAAAUGAGCAAUCAGAAAUGCAGCGGAAUAAGAGAGAAUUGGAGAAACUAAGGCUUAGAGAGCUUAACCAACGCAGGACAAAUACGUGAGGACUUGCUUGGAAUGAAAACACAUCUAGGAUUACAGGGAUGGAGGAACAAGGUCUGAGGGAAGGCUCAGCCACAAUAACCACAGGAGGAGACUGCAGCAGCGAGGAGCUGCUGGGGCAUCACAUGUACAUGGUAGUGCAGGGGGCCUCCGAGGAGCCACAUAAGGGGCAGGUGAGCAGGUAAGCUGGGCAGUCCUCCCUCUUCCUCCUGUGCUAAGCAAUCCCAGAGGAUACUUGCCUCAGCCUGAUAGUGGUAUGGUAGUGCCCUCUUAUGCUUGAGGAAUACAUUCCAAGACCCCACUGGUUGCCUGCUACUGUAGAUAGUACCACACCC